CGCCUUGCCAGCCCGCUCAGAAACUUAAAGGAAUUGACGGGGCCCGCACAAGCGGAGGAGCAUGUGGUUUAAUUCGAUGAUACGCGAGGAACCUUACCUGGGCUCGAACGUAAGAUGACUGUAGGUGAAAGCUUACAUCUCUUCGGAGCAUUUUACGAGGUGCUGCAUGGUUGUCGUCAGCUCGUGCCGUGAGGUGUCGGGUUAAGUCCCAUAACGAGCGCAACCCCUACCUUUAGUUGCCAUCAGGUAAUGCUGGGGACUCUAAAGGAACUGCCUACGCAAGUAGUGAGGAAGGCGGGGAUGACGUCAAAUCAGCACGGCCCUUACGUCCAGGGCUACACACGUGCUACAAUGGCCGAUACAGAGGGCAGCUACCUGGUGACAGGAUGCAAAUCUCCAAAGUCGGUCUCAGUUCGGAUCGGAGUCUGCAACCCGACUCCGUGAAGUUGGAUUCGCUAGUAAUCGCGCAUCAGCCAUGGCGCGGUGAAUACGUUCCCGGGCCUU
rnacentral:rRNA from 1 species